CUUCUCUAUUUUUUUGAAUAAGAAUAUAGUCAGUUAUUACUUGAAUUACUUUUAAAACAUAAAAAUGAAAUUCGGACAACCUGGAAUAUAUAAAUGUUGAAAAGCCAGUACAGUUGAUGCUUGAACAAUGCCAGUUUAAACUGCAUGGGUCCACAUACACACAGAUUUUUUCAAUAAAUACAGUACAGAACUGUAAAUGUAGUUUCACUUCCUUAUGAUGUUCUUAAGAACAUCUCCCUUUCUCUAACCUACUUCAUUGUAAAAACAUAGUAUAUAUAACAUGCACAAUGUGUUAAUCAACUGUGUUAUCGGGUCAACAGUAGGCUAUUGGCAGUUAAGUUUUGGGGGACACAAAAGUUCUAUGUGGAUUUUUAGAAACCCCUACUGCCUGCGCUGUUCAAGGGCCAACUGCAGAACUAAAAUGAGAAGGGAAGGAAGGCUGUGAAGCCAAUAACACAGCUGUUGGGAAAGAAACUCACUUUAUGCAGCUACAAAGAAGCCUGCUUGGAGGGAAGGAUAUUUCUCACAAUAUUCUAUUUGUUUGAUUUUUCCCCAUUUUACUUUUUUUUUUAAAUCAAGGAGGACUUCCUUUUCCAGGGAAAAGAGGGCCAAGUCUCCCUGUUCCUGUAAUUGAGCAAGAUGACACUCAGGAAGAUUUCCUUCUACCCGAGCCAACAGUGCCCCAGCCCAGUUCCCACAGGAAAACAUACUCCUUCCUCUUGUGGAAGGAUAUUACCACUGAUUUCUCUUUCAAAGCCAUAGUUUUCCUGACUCGGUUCCUUUUCUAAGACAAAAGCGCUAUAAGAAUCAUCAGAGACUCUGGCACACCUACAUGUGCAUCUCUGUAGGUGUUCCUGGCCCUUCAGGUUAAAGAAAGGGGUAGAAGGAGAGACCCAGUGCGUAAGUACUUUCCCCAAUGUGGCCUGAGUGGGACACUGUCAAGGUGACCUUUGAUACAAAAGGCUCAGACAUAUUUGCUGGGACAACGUGAGGCAGAAGCAGGACCAAGAUGUAAGUCACAAGGAGACAAGUUAUAGCUGAGAAUUAACUUUGUCUGGCAAUGAAAUAUUAGGUGGUGAGCUCCCCGGCACUAUUAGCUUCUAAUAGUACUGAAUGCUACCAGGGCAGAUACAAAUUGAGCACAACCUGAAGAUUCUAAACAGGCAGCUGAAGUUGGAGUCCAGUGCUUUUAAUAAGCUCCAAGGAUUGGGGCCCUUCAGCCUCCAGGGUACAUUUUAAAGCAGCCCAGGAGGGAGACAAAGUAGGACAGUAAUGAAGCACCACCCCAGAACCACUCCAAAAAGAGUCCUAGAGUUUGAGGCACAGCAUAGUGGUUAUAAGGAGACUCCAAACCAAUUCCUGACUCUCACCUGUUAGCUGUGUGACCACAGACAAAUUACAGAACUUCUCUGGGCCUUGGUUUCCUCACUGAUAAAACGAGAAUGACAGAGCAAACCUUAAAUGAGCUGGCAUAUGUAAAGUACUCAGAACAGUGCCUGGUCCAUCGUAUGAACCAUUAUUAUUUUGCAGAGGAGGAAACUGAGGCUGAGGCGAUGAUUAACUUCACCCCAGUCCCAACGUCAGCUUUAGACUUGGGCAUAACACCCAAAGCUUCUUUCCUUCCUGUUCAAAUCAAAUAUACCAUCUUUAUUUCUAUGGGAUCCUCUACAUGGACCCCCACUUUUACUCCUCUUGAGUUGGAGCAUAAGCUCAGUCCCAAAGAGUCUUGGAGCCUGUCGGUUACCAAGUGGCCUUUCUCAGUGGCACCUCAGUGGCUCUCAGUGGCACGUCUCACCACAGGCAGGCAGGCAGGAUGCAUGCGUGCAUGGCUGGGCUGAUGAAAGGCCAAGGACCAUCAAGAAAGGACUCAUGGUGUCAGGGCCAAAGCCCUGGGCUACGGGAUUUUGGAGUCACCGCAGCCAGUUUUUCGGUCUUGGACAAGUUACUGAACCCCUCCAUGCGGGGUGGGGAGGGGGGGCGUUUGCGUUAGCAAGUUUCUCGCCGCUCAACCGGCCAGCUCCGUGCCCCCUCCAUUCGAGUGGAGGAGGAGGAUAGGUGUCUGUCCCCCGCUCCUGCACCACCGCACCCCCGGGAUGUCCUCGCUGCACACCGGGGUGAGCGCCGCCCACUUCCAGGUGUAAACAGAGGCCAGCAGGAGGGACACCACCGACAACUCCAAGUGGAGGGAACUUUGGCGGGGGGGGGGGGGGCGGGGGGGUUGGGGAAUACAAUUAACUUCCGUGGUGAUGUGUUGGGAGAGAAGCAAAGGUGGAUUAAAGUGGGAAUUUUAAUUCAACACACAUUCCCGACUACUGAGAAAGAAGCGACGGGACUGUGAACUUCCAAGCAGGGAAGGAAACGCCGCGACGGACCCAGCAUUGUGCGCUCUGGAAAGAAUUACUCUUUACAAGUUACGCACCAGGCAGGCGGGCCAGAGGCGGGGAACCCUCACAGCACCGGCUCGGAGCAGGUCGAACGCUAUGCACACUUUUCAUUCUUGAGAACCCCAAGGAACAAAAUGUUAUUGGCAUCCUCUCCAGCAACAAAGAACAGCUGCAUCUGUUUGGGACAUUUCCCAGGCCGCUCCUUCCUCCAUGUGUGAAGGAUACCGUUGAUCUGUCGACCCAGCCCUGAAGAGGGAGCUUGGAUUCUCACCAGCCUCCUUUGCCAGCACUCAUGCAGCUGCUGGGUAUGCCAGAACCAGAGGAUAAAGAUGGAAAGACAAGAACUGCUGGGGCCAUUUUGCUGCUAGGAUGGAAAGAGCUCAAGGAGGAAGCCUGUGCGAAGAGAAGUGUGCAGCUAAGUGGAUCCCAGUCUGAGGUCUGGAGAAGGAGGUCCCGAAGAGAGAAAGAGAUUCAUUGCUUGAGGUCGCACAGAGCUCGAGGCAGAGUUGGGAAGAAAACUCUGUACCCACCAUGUCACCCAGGUCACUUUGCCGAUUAACCACUGGCCACGGCGCUGAAGCUCCCACAUUCCCUCACUUCCCUCCAGAGGGCAGAUGCCAUCAUUAUUGCCAUCUUUCCAGAAGGAGGAAAGAGCUGUACCAAAGAGCUUAAGUCACGUAUUCUCGGACUGUGUGUGGGAUGAUUGAAGAUCUUUCAGCAGACACUUCGGUGUGACCUGUGAAGAAGCAGCGGUGUCGCCCGAGCCCCCCUUCCCAGUCUUGCUGGCUGGGCCUGCCGUCAGAGUUCGGUUCUGUCUGCCUGGAAGCUAUCCUCUCAUGCGAGGUGCUCGCCGGAGUGCUUGAGGAUGGAUCAGGGCCAGGCCAAGCUUGCGAAACAGAUUUAAGGCGAGGGUUUUGUGCCUGCUUGACGAUAGUGCUGCUUGUUUAGCAGAAUUUGAUCUCAGACUUGCUGCCAUGGUAACGGGCACCUGUCAGUGAGCUUGUGCGGGGCUGCCUUACCUCUGAUCGCCAGAGAUUGCUAUUGUCUCCCAGAAGCCCUGACAAUUGCCUAACUACCCCACAGCCGAGGGCAGCUUGAAACUGCCCCAGGUCACAUGGCUGCUAGGUGGCAGUGCUCACAUAAAAGAUGUCAGCAAGGCACUCAUCUUUCAUUUUUUAUUUACUUAUUAAAUAAAAGGUAUUAGCACGGCACACUGCCACUCUGUCAGAGGAGGUGCACACAGGCCAGCAGGGUCCUGGCAAGGGGGCAGGGCUUUUGGGCAAAGGGCAGAACUAGAGACAGUAGUUGUUUUAAGAGGAGAGAUUCCUUCGAGUCAGGAAAGGGGGUGAUGGCGUGAAGGCCUAGAAUUAGGCGCCUCUAAUUCUAGAGGUGGAGGGAGGAGAAGCUUCUGCCUGGUGGCUCGUGUUUCCUUGGUGAAGCGGAGAUCCGGGACUCGGGUUGAAGUAAAGGGGGUGGGAUUGGUAGAGGGCUUAAGUUCAGCAGCGACUGGACAAAGUGCCUUUUGUUUGUCCCGUUCACAGUCGUCUGGGAAGCAGGGCUAUCCGGGACCAGGAGGGUAGAGCGUCUCUGAAGAGAAGCCUAGGAGGCUGAGCAUAGAUGGCCCUAGGGUCUAGGUAGAGCGUUUGUCCCAACCCCUGGCACCUAUUAAGAUGUCCAGGUCAUUCAAUAGGAGGCCGAGGAUCCCUGCCUGUCCUUCUCAUGAUCAGUGAGAAGAAGGACAAAGCACAGGCUGAGGGACCAAGUACCCAGAGACAGUUGCUCAGCAGGGCUCAGCGAGUCUGUAAGGGGAAGAUGACGGGGCAUUUUCCUGUCUCUUCCAAAAGUGCAUGGGAGUUUUGGAUGCGCGUCUUGAAUUUUAAGACUCCCUGAGGUCAAAGAGGAGGACAGUCAGUUCUGGAGGAGAAGAAAUGGCUUUGCCUUUUGUUUCUCUGCAAGAGCUGAUGAAUAAUUCAAGGCAAUGGUGAGGAAGUGGGCUCUGUAGGACAGGCCAGCUUGGAGCAGGUUCAUCCUGGUGGGUUGCCGUGGGACUGAGCUCUGUCUCCAUCUUGUAUGCUCCUCAGCCUCCCUGGCCCUGAGCCCACAUGGCUCCUGUGGAGCCGUGCUCCUUUUCAGCCAAGGGGAUGAAUGUCUGCUACAGAAAGGCCCUGGAAGAACUUCAAAACUCAGGCAGAGACAAGCAGGCGUGAAGAGGCCAGCUGCCUUCCUCUCAGGCAUUUGCUUUGUACUGCGAGGACCAAUGAGGGGCACUGCUAAGGGACGGGGAGAGGUGAGAAAGUGGGUUGGCCGGCUGGGGAAUCCCACAGGCCUGCUGGACCUUGCUCCUGCCUGCCCAUGUGUGGCCACGGGCUUCUUUCUCUACUCAGCUGGAGACAGUCUGUCGGGGACGGACAAAAUGCACCUUUUAAGUAGCCCUUCCCCCCAGGACUCACCUUUGAUCUCAAUUUGCUGGUUCCCGUUUAAAGGAGUAGAUGUCAAGAGUCCUCCAAUGCAGCAGAUGCCCACCUCCAGCUGGAACUGAAUUUACACACCAGUAAAUCAGAGAGUUAAUAAUCAAACUGUCUGGAUUUUGCCUUCAAAUUCGGCCAUCGGUGUAUUCUUCUUGUAUCCUGUAACACCUAAAAAUACCUUUGAGGCACUCUAAGUACACAAAACACCACACUGCUUGUCUUUGUAAGAGUGGCCGUGCAAAGGUCCUGGCACCAACGCCUGAUUACCCAACGCAAGAGCCGGCUGCCGCCUUCCUCACCGCGUGGAGGACUUGAAGACUUGCCUAGGCAGCCACAUGUGAAGGAAGAGAAGAGGGUGUCCGUGCAAAAUAAUGGCAUUUCUGGGUAUCAUGUUUUCUUUAUGUAGGUAUUCAGCUCUAUGAAAGUGUGUUUAGUGACUCAGUCAUAAACGAAUUUGAGAACUUUUGGCAGUCAAACCAAGGUCUUGUAUGGGACAAGGGAAUGGAUGUUGAUCUCAGGAAACCCCUCAUCAGUCUUCAGCAAUGUUCCCCAAAAUACAGAGGAAGGGAACCCCUGUGUGGGUGCAAAUUCUCCUCCAGGACUCAACCUCCUGACUUAGAGGCACUCCCUACAGUCAGUGUGGUCUGACCCCUUUUUGGUCUCCCAGGAAAAAUUAGACAUCUUCAUUCGAACAGAAGUCCUCACUGUUUUGUAAGUAGUGCUCCCCUCUCCAAAUAAAAACAUGGACCUGAGAGUAAA